UGGUUCUGGCAUNGAUGAAGAACGCAGCGAAAUGCGAUACGUAAUGUGAAUUGCAGAAUUCAGUGAAUCAUCGAAUCUUUGAACGCACAUUGCGCCCAUUAGUAUUCUAGUGGGCAUGCCUGUUCGAGCGUCAUUUCAACCACUUAAGCACUGCUUAUCGUUGGGAGCUUGCUAAUACUGCAACUCUCCAAAUCUAGCGGCGGAUCUGCAGUAUCCUCUGAGCGUAGUAAAUUUUUAUCUCGCUUUGGUUAGGUGCUGCGGUUCUCGCCGUAAAACCCCAUCUUUUUCUGGUUGACCUCGGAUCAGGUAGGAAUACCCGCUGA
rnacentral:misc_RNA from 1 species